rnacentral:rRNA from 1 species
UACGGGGGGAGCAAGCGUUGUUCGGAUUUACUGGGCGUAAAGGGCGCGUAGGCGGCCUGAUAAGUAGGGGGUGAAAUCCUGUGGCUUAACUGCAGGGCUGCCUCCUAGACUGUUAGGCUCGAGCACGGUAGAGGCAGAUGGAAUUCCCGGUGUAGCGGUGGAAUGCGUAGAGAUCGGGAAGAACAUCGGUGGCGAAGGCGGUCUGCUGGGCCGUUGCUGACGCUGAGGCGCGACAGCGUGGGGAGCAAACAGG